UUCCAACAGCAGCUCCACCACAUCUCUUCCAUAUCCGCUCUUCGAUCUACGAGUUCUUGGGCUUUCCCAGCUUCGUAUUCGAUCCGGACAGCUAUCUUCUUCAUCCAUCUUCGAUCCAGCAGCCUUCUCUUCUUCGCCAAGUCCGCAGCAAUUCCCUUCACCACCAGACAGCUUCAUAUGCACCUCACAGAAAUUGGGUUGUUUCUUUUAUCAUGGAUCUGUGUUGAUAUUUUUUAUUGAAUGCUUGUAUCAAACUUGAUCUUCUUUAAUUAGAUUGAACGCACUUGAUUUUAAUUGUUUCAUGCACACAACUUGUUUGAUGAAAUAUUCUAAUCUUCUAAUUCUUGCAUGUAACGUGUUCGGUAAAAUGUCUCUUUCAAUAGUUUGGUUCAAUUUGACGCAUCUUAAUUUGCUUAACUCUUGCUUUGUAUUGAUCUUUCAAUUGCUAAGUUUUAUGUCUUCAUUUAAAUGCAAUUAGGUUAAGUUAGUGUCUUCAUUUAAAUGCAGUUAGUUUUAUGUCUUCAUUUCUAUGUUUAGUGUGUAUUGUAUUUUAAGUUGUUACAUAUUAUUUCCUUAUAGCCAUAAUAUUCUAACUAAUUUGUAGAUGAGAAUGAGGUUAUCUGGAGGCAAUCAAAUUAUCCAAGAAUGAUCCAUAAUUAUUUAAUGAGGUCAUUCUACUUUUCCAUAUUCUAUUGUGACUUAUGUUUCACUCGUUAGUAUCAUGCAGGAUACCAAGAGCAAAUGUUGCAUUAGCCACAACAACCAAGAGCAAAUGUUGCAUUCAAAACCAUCUUUUAAUCUUUUGAGAAGCAAUUUCUCUCAUGGAGUUCGAAGACAUGGAGGGUCGUGAUAGACAAUGUAAUAUAAAAAUUAGAUUACUUAUGGUAAGAUUUAAAAAUUUGUAUAGUUGUUUAUAGUUUGAUUAUUGGUCAAAUUUAUUUGGAUAAUAUAAAUAUUUAUUUAUUUUAA